rnacentral:rRNA from 1 species
AGUGAACGCUGGCGGUAGGCCUAACACAUGCAAGUCGAACGGCAGCACAGUAAGAGCUUGCUCUUACGGGUGGCGAGUGGCGGACGGGUGAGGAAUACAUCGGAAUCUACUUUUUCGUGGGGGAUAACGUAGGGAAACUUACGCUAAUACCGCAUACGACCUACGGGUGAAAGCAGGGGAUCUUCGGACCUUGCGCGAUUGAAUGAGCCGAUGUCGGAUUAGCUAGUUGGCGGGGUAAAGGCCCACCAAGGCGACGAUCCGUAGCUGGUCUGAGAGGAUGGUCAGCCACACUGGAGCUGAGACACGGUCCAGACGCCUACGGGAGGCAGCAGUGGGGAAUAUUGGACAAUGGGCGCAAGCCUGAUCCAGCCAUACCGCGUGGGUGGAGAAGGCCUUCGGGUUGUAAAGCCCUUUUGUUGGGAAAGAAAAGCAGCAGGUUAAUACCCCGCUGUUCUGACGGUACCCAAAGAAUAAGCACCGGCUAACUUCGUG